GAUGAACGCUGGCGGCGUGCCUAAUACAUGCAAGUCGAGCGAACGGACGAGAAGCUUGCUUCUCUGAUGUUAGCGGCGGACGGGUGAGUAACACGUGGAUAACCUACCUAUAAGACUGGGAUAACUUCGGGAAACCGGAGCUAAUACCGGAUAAUAUUUUGAACCGCAUGGUUCAAAAGUGAAAGACGGUCUUGCUGUCACUUAUAGAUGGAUCCGCGCUGCAUUAGCUAGUUGGUAAGGUAACGGCUUACCAAGGCAACGAUGCAUAGCCGACCUGAGAGGGUGAUCGGCCAAACUGGAACUGAGACACGGGCCAGACUCCUAAGGGAGGCAGCAGGAGGGAAUCUUCCGCAAAGGGCGAAAGCCUGACGGAGCAACGCCGCGUGAGUGAUGAAGGUUUUCGGAUCGUAAAACUCUGUUAUUAGGGAAGAACAUAUGUGUAAGUAACUGUGCACAUCUUGACGGUACCUAAUCAGAAAGCCACGGCUAACUACGUG
rnacentral:rRNA from 1 species